UUUUUGCUAUUCUAGUGGGAGCCACAUAGAGUUUUGGCUGGAUUUGACCUUUUGGGCUGUAGUAGACUUAACCCAAUGGGAAGAUGUUCCCUGGAGGAGAGACAGGUGGAGGUGGCUCAUCUUGGGAGCCCCUGCACUCUGUACACUGCCUGUCACACCAGCUGAGCGCCAGGAAGUCAAGAAGGUGGAGCUCCAAUACUGCGAUGCUGCACUGCAAAGGUUACACUUGUCACCUGAACAUAGUUCUCAAUGACAGGAGAAGUUCAACAACUGCACAGGCUAAAUAAGAAAGAACAGAAAACAGAGAGGGAAACGAGGAGUUAAGAUUCUGGAGAGAGAUUUUUCUCUCAAAAUGUGUUAGUUUCUUGCUAUGCCUUUAACAGAAACACCUUGCAAUACUCUCUUCAAUUUACUUUUGAAAUUAUAGAUGCUUACUUCUGCCUAAUUAAACAUUUUCUUCAAUUAGGAGUAUUACCUGGAAAGAAGUACUUAGCAAUCACCAUUAGUGACCACUAACCUUGCAAAGCUUUUGCUUAUUUUAAUCCACACAUUUGGGAUACCAGUGCAGAAAAAACUACCACUUCUUUCAUUACACUGAUUCCACCAGACUCAUUCACUAUUAUAAAUUAUGUUAAUCUUAGGUAAAGAGCAGUUAUACAAUAGUAUGCAAUUAGCUUUUUCUCUCCCACACUACUAACACUCAAAUACUACGUUAAUGUUUCCCCAAAAUAUAGGUCAGCUGUUUAAAAGGUACUCGCUUUUCGUAUUAACCCUUCAUUUUGCAUCAUCUGUAUGGCAGGAGUAGGAAGGGGUGUAUCUACAGGCAGAGGUGUAGCCAGGUCUAAAACUAAGCUAUUUCAGUAUUGAUCUUCUAGGGCCAUGGUUACUACUGUUCUGAGAAUAUAAUUUACUCCUUUCUCUCUGUAUAACCUUUUGAUUGGAAUGAGCUUGGGGAAAACUGUC